AUUGAACGCUGGCGGCAGGCCUAACACAUGCAAGUCGAGCGUGUGGCGGACGGGUGAGUAAUGUAUGGGGAACUGCCCGAUAGAGGGGGAUAACUACUGGAAACGGUGGCUAAUACCGCAUACUAUAGGUGGAACCCAGAUGGGAUUAGCUAGUAGGUGGGGUAACGGCUAACCUAGGCGACGAUUCCUAGCUGGUCUGAGAGGAUGAUCAGCCACACUGGAACUGAGACACGGCCCAGACUCCUACGGGAGGCAGCAGUGGGGAAGAUUGCACAAUGGGCGCAAGCCUGAUGCAGCCAUGCCGCGUGUAUGAAGAAGGCCUUAGGGUUGUAAAGUACUUUCAGCGGGGAGGCGUUACCCGCAGAAGAAGCACCGGCUAACUCCGUGCCAGCAGCCGCGGUAAUUC
rnacentral:rRNA from 1 species